UUGNGUCGGUUUUAAGGUCUCACACUGGCCGCUCGUUUACCAAGCCUAACACAUGCAGUCGAGCGGAUGACGGGAGCUUGCUCCUUGAUUCAGCGGCGGACGGGUGAGUAAUGCCUAGGAAUCUGCCUGGUAGUGGGGGACAACGUUUCGAAAUGAGAACAGCUAAUACCAGCAUACGUCCUACAGAGGAAGAAAGCAAGAGGAGACCUUACAGAGAGCCUUAGCUGCUAUCAAGAUNGAAGCCUAAGAGUCAGAGAAUUAAAGCUAAGUAUAAGAGUAAGAAGAGUAAAAAUAGAGCUACAACCAAAGAGACAGACGAUACCAGUAAACUUAGCGUNCUAAGAAAGAAGAGAUAAGAUACAAGUACACACUAAGAGAAAACUAAGAAGAACGACGAGGUCCAG
rnacentral:rRNA from 1 species